GACGAACGCUGGCGGCGUGCUUAACACAUGCAAGUCGAACGGAAAGGCCCUGCUUUUGUGGGGUGCUCGAGUGGCGAACGGGUGAGUAACACGUGAGUAACCUGCCCUUGACUUUGGGAUAACUUCAGGAAACUGGGGCUAAUACCGGAUAGGAGCUCCUGCUGCAUGGUGGGGGUUGGAAAGUUUCGGCGGUUGGGGAUGGACUCGCGGCUUAUCAGCUUGUUGGUGGGGUAGUGGAUUACCAAGGCUUUGACGGGUAGCCGGCCUGAGAGGGUGACCGGCCACAUUGGGACUGAGAUACGGCCCAGACUCCUACGGGAGGCAGCAGUGGGGAAUAUUGCACAAUGGGCGGAAGCCUGAUGCAGCAGCGCCGCGUGCGGGAUGACGGCCUUCGGGUUGUAAACCGCUUUCGCCUGUGACGAAGCGUGAGUGACGGUAAUGGGUAAAGAAGCACCGGCUAACUACGUG
rnacentral:rRNA from 1 species